rnacentral:rRNA from 1 species
AACGAACGCUGGCGGCAUGCUUAACACAUGCAAGUCGAACGGAACUCCGGGUUCGCCUGGGGUUUAGUGGCGCACGGGUGAGUAGCGCGUGGGAACCUGCCCUCUUGUGGGGGAUAACCG